rnacentral:rRNA from 1 species
AAUGAACGCUGGCGGCAUGCCUAACACAUGCAAGUCGAACGAGACCUUCGGGUCUAGUGGCGCACGGGUGCGUAACGCGUGGGAACCUGCCCUUAGGUUCGGAAUAACUCCCCGAAAGGGGUGCUAAUACCGGAUAAUGUCUUCGGACCAAAGAUUUAUCGCCUUUGGAUGGGCCCGCGUUGGAUUAGCUAGUUGGUAGGGUAAAAGCCUACCAAGGCGACGAUCCAUAGCUGGUCUGAGAGGAUGAUCAGCCACACUGGGACUGAGACACGGCCCAGACUCCUACGGGAGGCAGCAGUGGGGAAUAUUGGACGAUGGGCGAAAGCCUGAUCCAGCAAUGCCGCGUGAGUGAUGAAGGCCUUAGGGUUGUAAAGCUCUUUUACCCGGGAUGAUAAUGACAGUACCGGGAGAAUAAGCUCCGGCUAACUCCGUG